rfam:Salmo salar isolate Sally breed double haploid chromosome ssa12, whole genome shotgun sequence.
UGUAUUCACUACUGUAAGUCGCUCUGGGUAAGAGCGUCUGCUAAAUUACUAAAA